CAUCCCCUGCGGGGAAGUGUUGGAGAUACGGCGCCGGAACUGCGACCCGUCCCAGAGCCAUCACCCCUCACCGCUCUAGGGUUCCGAUCCUCUCCCUUUCUAGGUGUCAGCUAUCAGCUUAAGAAUGCGUUCUACUACACGUGGGAUUGAUCCUUCCCCUCAGCAGUGAGCACCAUGUUUCUUUAAAGUUCCAAAUCAUUAGCUCCUUCAGUGAGUUCAUAUCUACAUGUUAUGGAAACCGGAGAGAGAAAAAGCUGAUAUGAUUUCAUUCACUCACUCGAACUACCAUCUCAAGUGCAAUUUAGUGUGCAGACGCAGACAGCUUUAUAGCAUGACUUACUCUUGAAUGGAAGAUACCACUACCUAAUUACCAUUUCUUUCUCACUGAUUUGAAAUAUCAACUGGUGCAACCACCGCUGUCCCAGUAUAAACACUUAAUCUUGUGCUUGUUCUUAUCAUCAGGAACAUUGACCUUUUUCUUUAUUACUUCUUUUUACGUUCAUCAGUCUGCUAACUAAUGUAGGAGAUGUAGGGUUUCCAAUGGCUUGACAGCCUUGAGCUUCCGAGGAGGCGCUUGCAGCAUUGCAGAUGGUAGUGGCGAGUGCAUGAACUUGCAGUUGGGGCAUGAAGGAGAUGACUCGCAGAGCAUGACGAGGAGAUGACAGUUGAUGCAGACUACCGCGACCAUGCUGCCACAUGAAUUAGAUAUGUGAUAGAUGGGAACAAAUGCAUGCUGGACAAUCACUUCUGAAGCAAGUAUGACAUCAGAGCUGGAAGCUAGCUUGAACCUUACAGAAGAAUGCAGAUACUGCACUCCAACCUGCAGGCACCGGUCUCUUCAAUGCCUUCAGAAACAGCAAUAAACAAGUGUAGUGUUAUUCGUCUUUCUUCCGGGCAAGUAAUGCAGCUUGUUCCUCCAGAUAUAGCUCACAGUUUCUGCCUUUCCCAAUUCCUGGAGGAAGAUGUCAUGAAUCUUUGUCCUUGCAUACUCAUCAUGUUUCUGCUGGUUAUCAAGGCAGGAAAUGACAACUUCUGUUCACCAUGUCAGGUACUGAAUGGAACAAGAGCGAAAAUUGUAAUCAAUUCAACCAGGCAUGACUUGGUCAGUGGCAGAAUGUGGAACAGAUCAUCACCAAACAAGCAGUGCAUUUAAGGCCAACCUACUGCAAUUCUACUUUGUUUCAAGCUCAUCUUCGACAUUCAAUUACAAAACUGCACCAGAAAUCCAUAUUCUCACUCAAUCGGCUCUUUGAUCUUAAAUGCAGUAUCCAUUCAUAUCCCUAUUUUAAUGAGGAUUCACCAUCACCAUCUCAAACUUAAAAGAGUCAAUAAGUUUUCUGCAUCAGAAAUGAAAUGAACUAGGUUGUUGAGUUGCCAUGUAACUGGUGAUUGUGCACUUGCUACAACAGUUUAAGCCGAAAAAUAAGUACUAAAUCAACCAAAGUAAAUGCCCCUUCUUCA